GUACACAUAUACUAAAGUUUUUGUGAAAAUGUCAAAUACCUAUCUGUUGUCAUUUUUUAUAUCGAGCA